CUUGCCCCUCUAGGCGUUGCAAGCACGGAUGCUGUGCCGUGUUUGUGUCAGGAGGUGGCAGAGAGAAAGAGGCUAUGUCUACGCUCAGUGCUCUGGGUCUGUGAGCACUCAGAAUGAUUAGUAGCCUGACAGG